rnacentral:rRNA from 1 species
UAACACAUGCAAGUCGACCGAUGAACCUCACUUGUGGGGGGAUUAGUGGCGAACGGGUGAGUAACACGUGAGUAACCUGCCCUUGACUCUGGGAUAAGCCUGGGAAACCGGGUCUAAUACUGGAUACGACCUUCUGGCGCAUGCCAUGUUGGUGGAAAGCUUUUGUGGUUUUGGAUGGACUCGCGGCCUAUCAGCUUGUUGGUGGGGUAAUGGCCUACCAAGGCGACGACGGGUAGCCGGCCUGAGAGGGUGACCGGCCACACUGGGACUGAGACACGGCCCAGACUCCUACGGGAGGCAGCAGUGGGGAAUAUUGCACAAUGGGCGCAAGCCUGAUGCAGCGACGCCGCGUGAGGGAUGAAGGCCUUCGGGUUGUAAACCUCUUUCAGUAGGGAAGAAGCUGAUCUUUCGGGGUUGGUGACGGUACCUGCAGAAGAAGCGCCGGCUAACUACGUGCCAGCAGCCGCGGUAAUACGUAGGGCGCAAGCGUUAUCCGGAAUUAUUGGGCGUAAAGAGCUCGUAGGCGGUUUGUCGCGUCUGCCGUGAAAGUCCGGGGCUUAACCCCGGAUCUGCGGUGGGUACGGGCAGACUAGAGUGCAGUAGGGGAGACUGGAAUUCCUGGUGUAGCGGUGAAAUGCGCAGAUAUCAGGAAGGAACACCGAUGGCGAAGGCAGGUCUCUGGGGCUGGUAACUGACC